CGGCUAUGCCUCAUCUAGUCAAU
rnacentral:miRNA from 15 species